GAUGAACGCUGGCGGCGUGCCUAAUACAUGCAAGUCGAGCGAACAGACGAGGAGCUUGCUCCUCUGACGUUAGCGGCGGACGGGUGAGUAACACGUGGAUAACCUACCUAUAUGACUGGGAUCACUUCGGGAAACCGGAGCUAAUACCGGAUAAUAUAUUGAACCGCAUGGUUCAAUAGUGAAAGACGGUUUUGCUGUCACUUAUAGAUGGAUCCGCGCCGCAUUAGCUAGUUGGUAAGGUAACGGCUUACCAAGGCAACGAUGCGUAGCCGACCUGAGAGGGUGAUCGGCCACACUGGAACGGAGACACGGUCCAUACUCCUACGAGAGGCAGCAGUAGGGAAUCGUCCGCAAUGGUCGAAAGCCUGACGGAGCAACGCGGCGUGAGUGAUGAAGGUCUUCGGAUCGUAAAGCUCUGUUAUGAGGGAAAAACAAAUGUGUAAGUAACUAUGCACGGCUUGACGGUACCUAAUCAGAAAGCCACGGCUAACUACGUG
rnacentral:rRNA from 1 species